rnacentral:rRNA from 1 species
UACGUAGGGUGCGAGCGUUGUCCGGAAUUAUUGGGCGUAAAGGGCUCGUAGGCGGUCUGUCACGUCGGGAGUGAAAACUCGGGGCUUAACCCCGAGCCUGCAGUGGAUACGGGCAGACUAGAGGUAGGUAGGGGAGAAUGGAAUUCCCGGUGUAGCGGUGAAAUGCGCAGAUAUCAGGAGGAACACCGGUGGCGAAGGCGGGUCUCUGGGCCGAUACUGACGCUGAGGAGCGAAAGCGUGGGGAGCGAACAGG